rnacentral:SRP_RNA from 2 species
CGGCUAGCUGGGGAGCUAGGGGUUCCCUGUAGACGCCAAAUCCCCUUCAGGGCGCGGCGAAACCGCGGCGCGGAUCCAAAAGGCGGUAUUCGGCCUUGAGACACUGUCGUAGACUCUUUGUCCUGUGUUACGCGCGAUUACGCAAACCGAGCCAGGCCGGAAGGAGCAACUCUAAGCGCAAUCGCGUGUGCUCGCAGACAACAAGGACGAGGCAAGCCCCAAGAAACCGGGUGUAACCUUUGUUUUCAAACCGUGAACGCCG